rnacentral:rRNA from 1 species
GACGAACGCUGGCGGCGUGCCUAAUACAUGCAAGUCGAGCGCAGGAAGUCAUCCGAACCCUUCGGGGGGACGUUGACGGAAUGAGCGGCGGACGGGGGAGUAACACGUAAAGAACCUGCCCUCAGGUCUGGGAUAACCACGAGAAAUCGGGGCUAAUACCGGAUGGGUCAUCGGACCGCAUGGUCCGAGGAUGAAAGGCGCUCCGGCGUCGCCUGGGGAUGGCUUUGCGGUGAAUUAGCUAGUCGGCGGGGUAAGGGCCCACCAAGGCGACGAUGCAUAGCCGACCUGCGAGGGUGAUCGGCCACACUGGAACUGAGACACGGCCCAGACUCCUACGGGAGGCAGCAGUAGGGAAUCUUCCACAAUGGACGAAAGUCUGAUGGAGCAACGCCGCGUGAACGAUGAAGGCCCUCGGGUCGUAAAGUUCUGUUGUAAGGGAAGAACAAGUGCCGCAGGCAAUGGCGGCACCUUGACGGUACCUUGCGAGAAAGCCACGGCUAACUACGUG